AAAACAAACCUACGGGAGGCAGCAGUAAGGAAUAUUGGUCAAUGGGCGGGAGCCUGAACCAGCCAUGCCGCGUGGAGGAUGACGGCCCUCUGGGUUGUAAACUUCUUUUAUCUGGGACGAAAAACGCCCUUUCUAGGGAACUUGACGGUACCAGGUGAAUAAGCACCGGCUAACUCCGUGCCAGCAGCCGCGGUAAUACGGAGGGUGCGAGCGUUAUCCGGAUUUACUGGGUUUAAAGGGGGCGCAGGCGGGCCUGUAAGUCAGUGGUGAAAUACUUGGGCUCAACCCGGGAACUGCCAUUGAUACUAUAGGCCUUGAGUGACGUUGAGGUUUGCGGAAU
rnacentral:rRNA from 1 species